UAAAACGGUACUUGUUAAUCAAUCGAUAGGUGGUAUUUAUUGAGCUCUUACUAUGUACAGAGCACUGUACUAAGCGCUCGAGAGAGUACAACAGAAUUAGCAGACCCAGCCCUGCCCAUAAUGAGCUGACAGCCCAGAGGAAACGCUUACUAUGUGCCAGGUACCUUACUAAGUGCUGGGCUGGAUCCAGAUUACUCAGAUUGGACAUAGUCCAUCUUCCACAUGGGGCUCACAGUCUUAAUCCCCAUUUUCCAGAUGAGGUAAUUGAGGUCCAGAGAGAUGAAGUGACUUGCCCGAGGUCACACAGCAGACAAGUGGCAGAGUCAGAAUUAGAUCUGAGAAGCAGCUUGGCUUAGUGGAAAGAGCCGGGGCUGGGGAGUCAGAGGAUGUGGGUUCUAAUCCCGGCACUGCCACCUGUCUGUUGCGUGACCUUGGGCAAGCCACUUCACUUCUCUGUGCCUCAGUGACCUCAUCUGUCAAAUGGGGAUUAAGACUGUGAGCCCCACGUGGGACAACCCUGUAUCUCCCCCAGCGCUUAGAACAGUGCUUGGCACAUAGUAAGUGCUUUAUAAAUCCCAUUAUUAUCAUUAUUACAAGUAACACCGGUUGGACACUGUCGCUGUCCCAUGUGGGACUCUCAGUCUCAAUCCCCAUUUUACAGGUGAGGUAACUGAGACACCGAAGAAGUGAAGUGACUUGCCCAAGGUCACACAGCAGACAAGCGGCAGCAGAGCAGGAAUUGGAACUCACGACCUUCCGAGUCCCAGGUCUGGGAGAGCUAGAGGGGCAGGGAGCCCCCGGGAGUUUAAAGAGCUGGAUCAUCGGACCUGAAAUGCCAACGGCCUGCGAAGUCCCGGCUGCUUAAAACUGAGCUAAAACGGAUCAUGUCUAUAAAGUCUGUAAAAAAUUUCGAUGCUCGUCAACAUGGGCAGUCGCCACCGCUGGAGGAAACCCGGAGGGGGAAUUCCGAGAUUUCAUCACUGCCGACUUCUUUAAAGAAGGGAGCACGGUCACUGGCUACCCACAAAGUCGAAAACUAUUGCUUAGUCCGUUCCUUCGAUCGAAUGCAAGACUUCCGAAAAAAGCAUUUGCAGGGGUCCCUGCUGUCCUGGGUCCAGCUUAUUUCCACACUGCCAUAGCUCUGCAAAGAAUCCUAUUCCCGACAGCCAACGACCACAGUACUGCUAUAUUGUUCCCUCCCAAGCCCUUAGUACUGUGCUCUGCACACAGUAAGCACUCAAUAAAUACGAUUGGACUGAUCAGAGAGGAAAAAGUAACUGAAAAAAAAUAAACCAACCCUAGGGACCUUGGAUUAUUAGUCCCUCCCACCCCCCAAAAUUGUGAUCUCCACUGCUGAUCCAGACUGGGGCUUGAGGUCACUGCCCAGUGACUGGAAAACUCUGGAUUAAUUCUCUCACUCCUGGCUGCCUACCCACUGCCUUGCCCUAAACCCACAGCCACCUGCUUGAUUUCAAGUCAAAAUCCACAGAAGCCCUUUCCUCUACCUUCCCCAAGCUCCAGGCCCAGCCGUUGGACAAGACUCCCUAAAGACCAGGCGACGACACGGCACUUCCAUACGUAAUCGCGUGCAAUUUAUUUUCCUGUCGGUCUCUCCGCCACUAAUCCAUACGAUCCUUGAGGGCGUGAGUCUCUACCAACUUUGUGCUUUACCAACUAUGUAGUCCGGUGCUCUGCACAUAGUAAGCGCUCAAUAGAUACCAUCGAUUAAGCAUAGCCAAAACCAACAGGGGAAGCUCCCGGGGGAGCACACCCUCAGCUCCUCUGUGUGAUCAUCUCCGCGACCAACUCCGGAG
rnacentral:lncRNA from 1 species